GAUGAACGCUGGCGGCGUGCCUAAUACAUGCAAGUCGAGCGAACGAAGGAGGCUCUUGCUUUUCUUAUGUGAGCGGCGGACGGGUGAGUAACACGUAGCUAACCUACCUUUAAGACUGGGAUCACUUCAGGAACCCUGAUCUAACACCGGAUAAUAUUUUGAACCUCAUGGUUCUUCUGUGAAAGCCGUUCUUGCUGUCCCUUAUAGGUGUAUCCUAGCUGCAUUAGCUAGUUGGUACGGUAACGGCCUACCAAGGCGACGAUGAGUAGCUGACCUGAGAGGAUGAUCAGCCACACUGGAACUGAGACACGGUCCAGACUCCUACGGGAGGCAGCAGUGGGGAAUAUUGGACAAUGGGCGAAAGCCUGACCGAGCCACGCCGCGUGAGUGAAGAAGGUCUUCGGAUCGUAAAACACUGUAAGUAGGGAGGAAGGGAAGUAAGAUAAAACGUUCAUGUUUUGACGGUACCAAAACAGAAAGCAACGGCUAACUACGUG
rnacentral:rRNA from 1 species